AGAGCUUCCAAAUAAGAUGCAUGGCUAUUGACCCAGUCUGUAAAGCUUAUGCCAAAGCAUUCAAUCUCUUGCUGAAGCUGAGUCAUAAUCUGCCUGCGGGAAUCUCCCUGUGGAGCACCUGUCGAGCUCCUUGAAUGUAUCAACAGAAUGAAGUGCCACUCUAAUUCGGGAGUGCAGAUCCUUUACAACUGCCCGGGUUUUAUCAAUCACUUGAGUGCUAAGAUCCUUGGCAAACUGGUGCCUGAGCUGAUCACACUUCUGAUCAUACUCCUUCCUGAUAGAUUCACUGGCCUAAAGGGCACAAAGAGGCAAACAAGUCAGAGGAUUGAAUGGCAACACUACUUAUUAGAUAACUUAGAAGCAUUCGCUACUAAUGCUGGAAGAGAUUAAUUAAAGAUGCUUUGUAAACUUUAUUGAUGCUCCAAAUGCUUUUCUACAAGUCCCACAGUGGCAUGGAUAAUCAAAUGAAGGAAGCAUUAAGGAGUAAUAGCACUUGUGGUGUCUACAGUAGAAGAAACUAGAAGGAGAAUAACAUGGAGAUACACAUGAGGAUAGGAGGUAAUCAUAUUAGCUAUCCUGGCCAGUCUUUUGAUGGGAUUUUACUUAUGGUAAAAUCAGAAGAGACAUGAAGUUUGCAACUGUUUGUGGCCAGUCUUUUGGUGUUUUACUUAUAGUCUUUUGGUGGCCAGUCUAAAUAUCUAUUUUGUCUCGAAACAUAAAAUAAAUUGCAACAUUUUGUUGUUGCUCACUCAAUGCACAGUAGCUUUUGGAAAAAUAAGACAAACACCUAAAAGUAAGCUCUUAGUGAAUGAAAAGAUUUCCUUUGCUAGCUGUGAAGAAGACAAUUGAUUUACUUAGCCAACCAUCUUGCAUAAAUGAUUGUUCAGGGAAUUUUAAGACCUUCAAGUUGAUAAAGAAGAUUUAUACACCACAAAAUUCAACCAUCAUUCAUUUUAAACAAAUCUUUUAAUCUAAAUUGACUAUUCUUCCUUGCAGUAUGAACAAAAGAUAAAAGUAUUCAUCCAUCAAAAGAGAGAAAAAGAAAAAGUAUUCCUCCAGUAAAGGUCUACCUCUAAAUCAACAUGUCAGCUAAGCCAAAAAAAAGAAAAAAGGAAACAUAGAAGGAUAUCUGAUGGCAAUAAAAUCAACAAGUGAAUACAUCACACACACACACACACACAAAUAUAUAUAUAUAUAUAUAUAUAGAGAGAGAGAGAGAGAGAGAUUGAUAAAAGUUCUGGUCAUAAUUACAUGCAACGCUAGAUAAAUUCCAGUAGAUCCAGAAGAUAUUCAUCAGUAAAAUAUGUAAGUGGUUUC